rnacentral:lncRNA from 1 species
GAGGACAAACAAUCGGAUGCCACUGAGUCUUUUGAGACUGACAUCUUCAGAACAACCGAGCAGACUCCUCAGAGGUCAUCCAGCUUCAAGACACAGGUACUAGUUUCUCUCUUUUACGGUCUUUCAAUGGUUCAGACUUUAGGUUGUAACCUUCUACUGUUUAGUUUUGAGGUGUCCUCUUCCUAAUUGUUAAUUUUUUUCAUGGAAGUCAAUUUUAGAUUUGUAUACAUCAAUGUAAAUCCUAAGUCUGAUAUAAGCUGCUAAGCACAUUCUGGUUUUUGUGAUUUCAUGGGGACCAGUCAAUAGGACCAGUGUUUAGUGGUGACCUCUCCCUGUGAUACACACACCUGUCAGGUCUCUUGUCAUUGUGGGGUCCACGCAAACUAAAAAUUAUUGUAGACACUGGACCACAUUAAUGACUCUUUUCUGUCUAUAAGUCUGAACAUAUACAUUCUACAACAUGUGUCACUGAACUUGAGAUCAGUUUGCUUUCUCCAAUUCGUACAAGCUGUUGGCUACAGGUGAAUUUAGUCCUGCCACACUUCACUGUUACUACUUCCUCAACUGUAAUGGUUACAGCUGUCUUAUAGCAGGCAACAUACAUGUGACAGAAAUCACAGCCAACUUGAACCCAUCAAAAGUAACUUGGAUUUAGCCUCAGAUACAGGACACAUGUAAACAUUGCCACCACAUGCGUGUCUCCUGUCUCUCACAUGCGUUUAUGUUGUGUUUGCACUGAAGUAAUGCUUCUGCUGACCAUCUACUCCAUAAUAAUGUUUAACUCACUCUUCAGGAGGACAAACAAUCGGAUGCCACUGAGUCUUUUGAGACUGACAUCUUCAGAACAACCGAGCAGACUCCUCAGAGGUCAUCCAGCUUCAAGACACAGGAGGACAAACAAUCGGAUGCCACUGAGUCAUUUGAGACUGACAUCUUCAGAACAACCGAGCAGACUCCUCAGAGGUCAUCCAGCUUCAAGACACAGGAGGACAAACAAUCGGAUGCCACUGAGUCUUUUGAGACUGACAUCUUCAGAACAACCGAGCAGACUCCUCAGAGGUCAUCCAGCUUCAAGACACAGGUACUAGUUUCUCUUUUUUUAAUGACUUUCACUGGUUCAGACUUUAGUAAUACCAUUCCAACAAAAACUCUUCAAAGCUGUCGCUGUUAAUAUCCCAGAGGUAGCCAAAUAAACAUCACUAGCAAGUUAUUUUCCUAGUUGUAGACGCAAGCUCAAAGGGACAUAAUGAAAUCACUUAUGCUAUUACAUUCUAUUUGGCCAAAGAUAUGCCCAUUUACACAGUAGAAAGAGAAGGCUUCAGGAAGCUUCUGAAUGCACUGGACAAACGAUAUGAAAUCCCAUCAUGCACCUACUUUCACAGGUAGCUGUCCUGCAGUUAUAUUUUUGUCUUUUUUGAACAACAUCUGUGCUUUUGUCAGUGGUCCCGUUUAAACGUCUGUUAAAAGCAGGCUGUCAUUUCGCCAGCUACAGCUACGUAUUUAAUAGAUAUAACAGCAGAAGAAUGAAAAAUGCCCAGGAAGUUCUGCCAGUGACAUGAGUGAAGGAGAAUUGGAUGAGAGAGAGAUUAAUGCAGGCAUGGGUUCGUUUUAUUUAUUCUCAUAGCAAGGCAAACUAAGUGAUUAUUACCAAAACUUUGUUAUGGCAAGGCUAGCAGACCCAAGUGCAGGACUAAGAAUGGGAUUAGUUACAAAAGAGGAAUAUUUAUUGCAGGGUUAAAAGGAUCUAAUAUUGUGCGGGUGAAGAGUGAAAAUAGAUGCAUGCCGAACCAGUUGGUGGCUGCUUUUCAGAGCAGGGGUAACCGUAGUUGAGAGUCCAGAGUGAGAGAGUCUGAUCCAGUAGAUCCAGAGCAGAAUCUGGGAAUAGUUUAGCUGGGCAGGGGUCCAGGCGGAGAGCAGACGGGAUCCUUAACACUUAACUAAACAAUGCGUUAUUAUGCAUAAUUCUCUUUUAACUUUUAUUAUAGCAAGUAAAUGUUCUUCCUCUACAUUCGGCCUAAUAUAAUUAUUUCAAUGUGUUCAUUUAUAUUGUUGAAGCCUACAGUUUAGCCUAUUGAUUAAUGUUAAAAUGUAGGCUAUAUGACUGUUUUGAUCUGUAAUGAAAUUAAGCAUUUAACACAGCUGAGGACUUCAUUUUGUUUUCCCUUUGAUGUGAACUGGAGCGUUACGUUCACUGCUGUGAGCGGAGGUCAGGCGCGUGGAAAAAAAAACCCCCUCCAAUAUUUGAAUCUCAAUUUGAAAAUCGAAUGUUUACCUAACAAUGAAAUAUUCAGGUUCAGCCCUAGUCAUUUCCACUUCUAAAAGUGCAGUAUUGUCCUUGCUAUAUAUUUAAACCAUUUUUAUGCCACAUGUCUGUUUUAUUGAAAAAUAUGAAGAUUAAAUGUGGGUUUCCAGUGUUUUUGAAAUACCAUUUGAUGUACAUAGGUAUACAUUUAUGUAUGUGUGUGGUCAUUUAUAUCUUAUGUCUUCCUUUGAUGUUCUAUAGUGCCCACACG